AUGAUUGAUAUCCCUUACUUUUACAGAUUACCUAUUGUGUUCUAUAUGCAUCGACAAACUGCAGGGUAUUUAAAAUGUAGUCCAAAAGACCUUUUUACUGAAUUUCGAUUUUUCUGCAUUGUUUCUAUUUUCAAGUUUCAUAGACACACAAUUUAUGCGCUUACAAAUAGGAAAUUGAAAAGAAAAAUAUGA